GCAUGUGUAGCCAAGCGGUCGACGGCGCCGGACUUGAGAUCCGGUGAGUUUUUACUCUCAUGGGUUCGAAUCCCUUCACAUGCGCCA
rnacentral:tRNA from 1 species